CUCCGGACUGGCCCAGAGAGGUGGGCAACUACCACUCAGGGCCGGAAAGUUGUCCAAACUCGGUCAUUUAGAGGAAGUAAAAGUCGUAACAAGGUCUCCGUUGGUGAACCAGCGGAGGGAUCAUUACAGAGUUACUACUCCAAACCCAUUGUGAACCUUACCUUAUGUUCUGUUGCCUCGGCGGCGUCGGUCAGCGCCCCUCUGAAAAGAGGACGAUGCCCUCCCGCCGGCAGCACCAAACUCUUGAAUUUUACAGCGGAUUACAGUUCUGAUUUGAAAACAAAAAAACAAGUUAAAACUUUCAACAACGGAUCUCUUGGUUCUGGCAUCGAUGAAGAACGCAGCGAAAUGCGAUAAGUAAUGUGAAUUGCAGAAUUCAGUGAAUCAUCGAAUCUUUGAACGCACAUUGCGCCCGGCAGUAAUCUGCCGGGCAUGCCUGUCCGAGCGUCAUUUCAACCCUCGAACCUCCGUUUCCUCAGGGAAGCCCAGGGUCGGUGUUGGGGCGCUACGGCGAGUCUUCGCGACCCCCCGUAGGCCCGAAAUACAGUGGCGGUCCCGCCGCGGUUGCCUUCUGCGUAGUAAGUCUCUUUUGCAAGCUCGCAUUAGGUCCCGGCGGAGGCCUGCCGUCAAACCACCUAACAACUCCAGAUGGUUUGACCUCGGAUCAGGUAGGGUUACCCGCUGAACUUAAGCAUAUC
rnacentral:rRNA from 1 species